CGCGGCACACUCGCGGGUCUCUCCGCAGGCGGCUUGGGCCGGGCGGGGCGAGGACAGUCCCGGCCGCGCGGUGGGCCGAGGGGCCAUUCCUCGGGGCGUUGGCAAAUGAAUUCCGUCCGAGUCAAUAUCGCCCAGCGAGCGGCGUUUCUCCUUAGUCACCCGAGAACGAGAGGCACUUUUAAUUAGAAAUUAAUUAAUGAGCAGCUGCUCCUUCCCGCCCCUCUGUAAUCAUUCGUCUCAAUUACAAAUGAGACCUAUGAAGGGACACGCGAGUGAGUCUUCGCUGAAGAGGUAAUCAACAGUUAAAAUUAGCCCGGCGCAGCGCAGGCGGCCGGCAUGGCCUCGCUCUUGAGCGCUCUGCUCCCAGAGGUAGGAAGGGGCCGGCAGGCGCCCCACACGCGUCUAGCCACUAUUCUUCAACCCGGAGUCUGCGACGCCUCCCGCGGGUGCCCACCCUACGCCGGAAAGGACUUUCAGAACCCUCUGCGGCCGCCAGAGAGCCCGCGAGUGCCUGUCCCAAUGCGCGCAGCUGCAAGCCUGCCUCCCAGAAACGAAAUCUGCCGGCUCCUUUGACAGCUCGGUUGAAGGUGAUUGAUGACUAUCUGGAGAUCACAGUACACAUCAUAUAAUAUCUGCUGCGUAAUUGCUUUAAUUUACAGAUGAAAAUACGAGUUCUCCGAUCGCGUUGGACCGCAGCCGGCCACGUCCGAGCUGCUUGCAGAGGGAAACCAUCGGAAAUAAUGAAUAGCCGCUCCAUGCAAAUUAUUCAGACAGUUUAGCGUCCGUAGCCGCGAGAAAUAUAUAAAGAACACGCGUCAAAUGACA